UACAGAGGUCUCAAGCGUUGUUCGGAUUCAUUGGGCGUAAAGGGCGCGUAGGCGGCGGGGUAAGUCGGGUGUGAAAUCUCAGAGCUCAACUCUGAAACUGCACUCGAUACUGCUUUGCUAGAGGACUGGAGAGGAGAUUGGAAUUCACGGUGUAGCAGUGAAAUGCGUAGAGAUCGUGAGGAAGACCAGUGGCGAAGGCGGAUCUCUGGACAGUUCCUGACGCUGAGGCACGAAGGCCAGGGGAGCAAACGGG
rnacentral:rRNA from 1 species